UACGGAGGGAGCUAGCGUUGUUCGGAUAUACUGGGCGUAAAGCGCACGUAGGCGGCGCAGCAAGUCAGAGGUGAAAUCCCGGAGCUCAACUCCGGAACUGCCUUUGAAACUGCAGUGCUAGAAUCCUGGAGAGGCGAGUGGAAUUCCGAGUGUAGAGGUGAAAUUCGUAGAUAUUCGGAAGAACACCAGUGGCGAAGGCGACUCGCUGGACAGGUAUUGACGCUGAGGUGCGAAAGCGUGGGGAGCAAACAGG
rnacentral:rRNA from 1 species